rnacentral:rRNA from 1 species
GACGAAUGCUGGCGGCGUGCUUAACACAUGCAAGUCGAACGGAAAGGCCCUGCUUUUGUGGGGUGCUCGAGUGGCGAACGGGUGAGUAACACGUGAGUAACCUGCCCUUGACUUUGGGAUAACUUCAGGAAACUGGGGCUAAUACCGGAUAGGAGCUCCUGCUGCAUGGUGGGGGUUGGAAAGUUUCGGCGGUUGGGGAUGGACUCGCGGCUUAUCAGCUUGUUGGUGGGGUAGUGGCUUACCAAGGCUUUGACGGGUAGCCGGCCUGAGAGGGUGACCGGCCACAUUGGGACUGAGAUACGGCCCAGACUCCUACGGGAGGCAGCAGUGGGGAAUAUUGCACAAUGGGCGGAAGCCUGAUGCAGCAACGCCGCGUGCGGGAUGACGGCCUUCGGGGUGUAAACCGCUUUCGCCUGUGACGAAGCGUGAGUGACGGUAAUGGGUAAAGAAGCACCGGCUAACUACGUG